rnacentral:rRNA from 1 species
AUUGAACGCUGGCGGCAGGCCUAACACAUGCAAGUCGAACGGUAACAGGAAGAAGCUUGCUUCUUUGCUGACGAGCGGCGGACGGGUGAGUAAUGUCUGGGAAACUGCCUGAUGGAGGGGGAUAACUACUGGAAACGGUAGCUAAUACCGCAUAACGUCGCAAGACCAAAGAGGGGGACCUUCGGGCCUCUUGCCAUCGGCUGUGCCCAGAUGGGAUUAGCUAGUAGGUGGGGUAACGGCUCACCUAGGCGACGAUCCCUAGCUGGUCUGAGAGGAUGACCAGCCACACUGGAACUGAGACACGGUCCAGACUCCUACGGGAGGCAGCAGUGGGGAAUAUUGCACAAUGGGCGCAAGCCUGAUGGAGCCAUGCCGCGUGUAUGAAGAAGGCCUUCGGAUUGUAAAGUACUUUCAGCGGGGAGGAAGGGAGUAAAGUUAAUACCUUUGCUCAUUGACGUUACCCGCAGAAGAAGCACCGGCUAACUCCGUG